rnacentral:rRNA from 1 species
CUAUCAGAGGGGAACAACAGUUAGAGAUGACUGCUAAUACCGCAUAUGCCUUAGAAUCACAUGGUUCAAAAGGGAAAGGAGCAAUCCGCUGAUAGAUGGGCUUGCGUCUGAUUAGAUAGUUGGUGGGGUAAUGGCCUACCAAGUCGACGAUCAGUAGCCGGACUGAGAGGUUGAACGGCCACAUUGGGACUGAGAUACGGCCCAGACUCCUACGGGAGGCAGCAGUCGGGAAUAUUGCGCAAUGGAGGAAACUCUGACGCAGUGACGCCGCGUGCAGGAAGAAGGUUUUCGGAUUGUAAACUGCUUUAGACAGGGAAGAUACGAGACAGUACCUGUAGAAUAAGCUCCGGCUAACUACGUGCCAGCAGCCGCAGUAAUACGUAGGGAGCAAGCGUUAUCCGGAUUUAUUGGGUGUAAAGGGUGCGUAGACGGGAAAACAAGUUAGUUGUGAAAUCCCUCGGCUUAACUGAGGAACUGCAACUAAAACUAUUUUUCUUGAGUGCUGGAGAGGAAAGUGGAAUUCCUAGUGUAGCGGUGAAAUGCGUAGAUAUUAGGAGGAACACCAGUGGCGAAGGCGACUUUCUGGACAGUGACUGACGUUGAGGCACGAAAGUGUGGGGAGCAAACAGGAUUAGAUA